UACGUAGGGUGCAAGCGUUGUCCGGAAUUAUUGGGCGUAAAGAGCUCGUAGGCGGUUUGUUGCGUCGGCUGUGAAAUCCCGAGGCUCAACCUCGGGUCUGCAGUCGAUACGAGCAAACUAGAGUGUUGCAGGGGAGACUGGAAUUCCUGGUGUAGCGGUGAAAUGCGCAGAUAUCAGGGAGGAACACCGGUGGCGAAGGCGGGUCUCUGGGCAACAACUGACGCUGGAGGAGCGAA
rnacentral:rRNA from 1 species